UACGUAGGGGGCUAGCGUUGUCCGGAAUCAUUGGGCGUAAAGCGCGUGUAGGCGGUCCGGUAAGUCCGCUGUGAAAGUCGGGGGCUCAACCCUCGAAAGCCGGUGGAUACUGUCGGGCUAGAGUACGGAAGAGGCGAGUGGAAUUCCUGGUGUAGCGGUGAAAUGCGCAGAUAUCAGGAGGAACACCAAUUGCGAAAGGCAGCUCGCUGGGACGUUACUGACGCUGAGACGCGAAAGCGUGGGGAGCGAACAGG
rnacentral:rRNA from 1 species